rnacentral:rRNA from 1 species
CAGUCGCCACGGUAAUACGAAGGGGGCUAGCGUUGCUCGGAAUUACUGGGCGUAAAGGGAGCGUAGGCGGAUCGUUAAGUUGGGGGUGAAAGCCCGGGGCUCAACCUCGGAACUGCCUUCAAUACUGGCGAUCUUGAGUAUGAGAGAGGUGUGUGGAACUCCGAGUGUAGAGGUGAAAUUCGUAGAUAUUCGGAAGAACACCAGUGGCGAAGGCGACACACUGGCUCAUUACUGACGCUGAGGCUCGAAAGCGUGGGGAGCAAACAGGAUUAGAUACCCGAGUAGUCCCUGUCUCUUAUAC